rnacentral:rRNA from 1 species
GACGAACGCUGGCGGCGUGCUUAACACAUGCAAGUCGAACGGAGAUUCAGCAAUGGAUCUUAGUGGCGAACGGGUGAGUAACGCGUAGGCAAUCUGCCUUCUAGAUGGGGACAACAUUCCGACAGGGGUGCUAACACCGAACGUUGUAGUUGGUUCGCAUGGACUAGCUCCUCAAGGUGGCCUCUGAAUAUGCGACCGCUAGAAGAUGAGCCUGCGUCUGAUUAGCUAGUUGGAGGGGUAACGGCCAACCAAGGGUUCGAUCAGUAGCCGGUCUGAGAGGAUGAACGGCCACGCUGGGACUGAGACACGGCCCAGAGUCCUACGGGAGGCAGCAGUGGGGAAUCUUCCGCAAUGGACGAAAGUCUGACGGAGCAACGCCGCGUGAGUGAAGAAGGUUUUCGGAUCGUAAAGCUCUUUCGUUAGGGACGAACGUGCUCUUUGUGAAUAAUGAGGAGUAAUGACGGUACCUAAAUAAGAAGCCACGGCUAACUACGUGCCAGCCGCCGCCGUAA